rfam:Dipodomys ordii cont1.277838, whole genome shotgun sequence.
GGGCUCCUGACUCCAGGUCCUGUGUGUUACCUCGAAAUAGCACUGGACUUGGAGUCAGAAGGCCU